GAAGUUUCCCUCAGGAUAGCUGGCGCUCUCGCUCUUUCCCGAUGCACGCAGUUUUAUCCGGUAAAGCGAAUGAUUAGAGGUCUUGGGGCCGAAACGAUCUCAACCUAUUCUCAAACUUUAAAUGGGUAAGAAGCCCGGCUCACUGGCGUGGAGCCGGGCAUGGAAUGCAAGUGCCUAGUGGGCCACUUUUGGUAAGCAGAACUGGCGUUGCGGGAUGAACCGAACGCCGGUUAAGGCGCCCAAUGCCGACGCUCAUCAGACCCCAGAAAUUUUUUUUUUUUUUACGUAUUUUCUUCAAUUACAUUUCCAAUGCUAUCCCAAAAGUC
rnacentral:ncRNA from 1 species